rnacentral:lncRNA from 1 species
ACCCGCCAACCCGACCCGAAUCCCUUGGGAUCCGCGUGUUUUCAUGGAGUGGUCUAUUUGCAACCCUUGCCCUUCUUCUUUUCAACCUUUUUAAUAUGGUCCUAAUUUUGUUUUUUUCCUUUUUAGAUUGCACCGUUUAAUUUUAAUUUGUUUUCAAUUUAGUCCUUCGUUUGCUGACCUUCUGGGGAAUAACGUGUGUCUUAGGGUUUGGGAUAAUUCCCGAUUUGAGCCCUAUUUAUUUCCGC